rnacentral:rRNA from 1 species
CCUACGGGGGGCAGCAGUGGGGAAUAUUGCACAAUGGGCGCAAGCCUGAUGCAGCCAUGCCGCGUGUGUGAAGAAGGCCUUCGGGUUGUAAAGCACUUUCAGCGGGGAGGAAGGCGUUGAGGUUAAUAACCUCAUCGAUUGACGUUACCCGCAGAAGAAGCACCGGCUAACUCCGUGCCAGCAGCCGCGGUAAUACGGAGGGUGCAAGCGUUAAUCGGAAUUACUGGGCGUAAAGCGCACGCAGGCGGUCUGUCAAGUCGGAUGUGAAAUCCCCGGGCUCAACCUGGGAACUGCAUUCGAAACUGGCAGGCUAGAGUCUUGUAGAGGGGGGUAGAAUUCCAGGUGUAGCGGUGAAAUGCGUAGAGAUCUGGAGGAAUACCGGUGGCGAAGGCGGCCCCCUGGACAAAGACUGACGCUCAGGUGCGAAAGCGUGGGGAGCAAACAGGAUUAGAUACCCCUGUAGUC